AUUGAACGCUGGCGGCAUGCUUUACACAUGCAAGUCGAACGGUAACAGGCCUUCGGGUGCUGACGAGUGGCGCACGGGUGAGUAAUGCAUCAGAACGUGCCCAGAGGUGGGGGAUAACGCAGCGAAAGCUGUGCUGAUACCGCAUGUGAUCUGAGGAUGAAAGCGGGGGACCAGGCAGCAAUGUUUGGCCUCGCGCCUUUGGAGCGGCCGAUGUCAGAUUAGGUAGUUGGUGGGGUAAAGGCCUACCAAGCCGACGAUCUGUAGCUGGUCUGAGAGGACGACCAGCCACACUGGGACUGAGACACGGCCCAGACUCCUACGGGAGGCAGCAGUGGGGAAUUUUGGACAAUGGGCGCAAGCCUGAUCCAGCAAUGCCGCGUGCGGGAAGAAGGCCUUCGGGUUGUAAACCGCUUUUGUACGGAACGAAAAGGCUCUGGCUAAUACCUGGGGCUGAUGACGGUACCGUAAGAAUAAGCACCGGCUAACUACGUG
rnacentral:rRNA from 1 species